GCGGCGUGCUUAACACAUGCAAGUCGAACGCUGAAGCACUUUCGGGUGUGGAUGAGUGGCGAACGGGUGAGUAACACGUGGGCAAUCUGCCCUGCACUCUGGGAUAAGCCUUGGAAACGGGGUCUAAUACCGGAUACGACACCGGGCCGCAUGGUCUGGUGUGGAAAGUUCCGGCGGUGCAGGAUGAGCCCGCGGCCUAUCAGCUUGUUGGUGGGGUAAUGGCCUACCAAGGCGACGACGGGUAGCCGGCCUGAGAGGGUGACCGGCCACACUGGGACUGAGACACGGCCCAGACUCCUACGGGAGGCAGCAGUGGGGAAUCUUGCGCAAUGGGCGAAAGCCUGACGCAGCAACGCCGCGUGGGGGAUGACGGCCUUCGGGUUGUAAACCUCUUUCGACAUCGACGAAGCCUUCGGGUGACGGUAGGUGUAGAAGAAGCACCGGCUAACUACGUGCCAGCAGCCGCGGUAAUACGUAGGGUGCGAGCGUUGUCCGGAUUUAUUGGGCGUAAAGAGCUCGUAGGCGGUCUGUCGCGUCUAUCGUGAAAACCGGGAGCUUAACUCCUGGCUUGCGGUGGAUACGGGCAGACUUGAGUUCGGUAGGGGAGACUGGAAUUCCUGGUGUAGCGGUGAAAUGCGCAGAUAUCAGGAGGAACACCGGUGGCGAAGGCGGGUCUCUGGGCCGAUACUGACGCUGAGGAGCGAAAGCGUGGGGAGCGGCGUGGGGAGCGAACAGGAUUAGAUACCCUGGUAGUCCACGCCGUAAACGUUGGGCGCUAGGUGUGGGGAUGGGUUCCACUGUUUCCGUGCCGUAGCUAACGCAUUAAGCGCCCCGCCUGGGGAGUACGGCCGC
rnacentral:rRNA from 1 species